GCCUCACAGAGGAUCAUGGGAAAUAAAGAGCAACCCUUUCAACAGGCUUUUUCUCGCCAAGUUUUGUUGAAACCAAGCAAUUAUUGGAUACAUUUCAAAGGAAAAUGACUACACAUUUUUUCUGUGUUUUAUUUAACACCUUUACUUCUAGCUGGGCUUUAAAACUAUUAAAGCAUCUUAUUAGAACAUGAAAUCGUCGAGGUUCAUUGAAUCUCGAUGGAACAGCUGCAGGGACUAAAAACAUGGAGCUCCUGCAGCGAUCUGCAGCCAGACGGAUGAAUCCCAGCAGAGCAUCCUACCUCGCUGGAGGACUCGGCGAGAACCUGAUCGUACUCCGAGAGCGCCACCAAGAACAUGAUGGAGGUCACGUUCUCGAAGCAGUGGAUCCAUUUCCUCCUCUCUGAACGCUGGCCACCCACAUCCACCAUCCUGCAGCCAAAAGAAAAACACAAAGAAGCGACCGGAGUACUGCCUCACACUGAAACGAGACAGACAAGUUCGUUCAAAUUCAUGAAAGACGCGAUGCUGGCCUGCAGGUGAUCAUUCGUCUGUAAACAUGAAGACAUUCCUCAAAUGGAGGUCAGUGAUGGAUAUGGCAGGAGCAGAGACUUUAUCUCGACUCCAUAGUUUAGCAGUAAAAACGGGAGUAAACUUGAGAUUUAUCUGUCAACUUCUUCACAAAUAUUCUGACAAAAAUCACUGUAAAUUUAGUUAUUUACAAGGUCCUAAAAUCAAAUGUAUUGUGGUUUAAACCGCUGCAGUAAAUUGUGAGUUUCUUCCUGAGCCGUGAGGACCUCUCUGCUGCAGUCCUGUAACGUUGGAGAAGUAGAAAACACGUGCCUGUUCUGCAGCAAGUACUGGGCGUUUUGGAUCUGGUCCUGUGUCCCCGUGAUGGUGAUGAUACGGUCCUCAGAGCCCUCUAGUGGUUCGUCGAUCUUGAUGGAUGCUCCGGACUCGUGACGGAUCUGCUUGAUCCUCUGACCGCCCUUACCGAUGAUGGAGCCCGCCAGCUGCACAGACACCGCCGCGCCGAGCGGAGAGACACAGCCUCUGCGCGGAGGACGUGACUCUGACGGCACUCACCAUGCUGUCGUAACGGUCUCCUCGGCUUCUCCUGUCACUGCGGGGAAAGGUUGGUGUUAAUACGGUUUUUCUAGAGGACUCUUGAACUCGUGACCUAUGACGGGACUCAAAAGCGUGAAAUUCUGCCAGCUUACACUGCUUUGACUUGAAAAGAAAAUCAAGUGAUACUUCUCACCUUGGUCUGUCAUCCAAGCUGCUAUGAUAGCUGCCGUGAGAGAACCGGUCUCCCCUGCAAACAGGGACAAAGAGGUGAACAAGUGAAGGAAGUGGAAGAUCUUCAACUCUAACCUGAGGAUGAGGGGGUCAGGUUUUUACAAAGAUUAAAAAAAAUAAAAAA